GAAAUGCGAUAAGUAAUGUGAAUUGCAGAAUUCAGUGAAUCAUCGAAUCUUUGAACGCACAUUGCGCCCUGUGGCAUUCCGCAGGGCAUGCCUGUUCGAGCGUCAUUAAUACCACUCAAGCCUGGCUUGGUGUUGGGGUUCGCGGUCUCGCGGCUCCUAAACUCAGUGGCGGUGCCGGUUGGCUCUACGCGUAGUAACUUCUCUCGCGUCUGGGUCCUACCGGUGUCCUGCCAGAACCCCCCAUUUUUUUAAGGUUGACCUCGGAUCAGGUAGGGAUACCCGCUGAACUUAA
rnacentral:misc_RNA from 1 species